rnacentral:lncRNA from 1 species
GGAUCUCGCUGGAAUAGUUAAAAGGUUGGAGAGGUUACGGUGUUGUUGUUGGUGUGUUGGAAGGUUUCACGCAUGAGGGAGUUUGAGCAUCAUUUUCCUAGGAGUUAUGGAGGAGUCGUCACAAAACAAAAUAGGAUGGAGAAAUGUUGCUAUUUACAUGGCGAUGAGAGGUUUAUGAUAUGUUUGAUGAUCGAAGUUCA